GCUAAUUAUGUAUUUUUAGUAGAGAUGGGGUUUCACCGUGUUGGCCAGGCUGGUCUUGAACUCCUGACCUCAGGUGAUCUGCCCGCCUCGGCCUCCUGAGACAACAGAGGAUUACACCCAUGCUGUCCUCCAGAGUUGCAGAAGCCUGUCAUGGGAAAACUUUGUAGUCAUAGAAGGAUGUUCCUCUCCUUUGAGAAUGUGGUUUGCCAUUGUUAGAGGAGAGAAGAGGAUUCCGAAGGCUGUCAAACCUAUAUGUUGCUGGUUUUAUCUCCUCUGGAGAUUGGUGUGACACUCAUGAAGGGGACUCAGCCACCUGUGCAAAGCCCAGCCUCUUAAGUCACUGGGCAUCUAGUGGAAUCAGGGGAUGAAUUACUGAUGGAUGACUGGGAGGAGGGUGCUUAGGCACCGCAGUUGAGUGGCUCACAAGGAGAGAACAUUUCACUAAUGCAUAUUCAGUGGGUGGUUCUGGUUUGCCUGAUUUUUGCCUCUGGGCAUGGCUGUUUCAGCCUGAGAGGCUGUUCCAAGAAUGUUUCUUUACUAGAGCACUCAUGCUGCCUGGUGGUAAAUAUGAAGUACAGCAAUGCAACCGACCAGUUUUACUCCAAGGAAACCCUGUAGAGAUGACAGCGAUGGUUGGCAAUUUCUGCUUCAGUUACGAAAGUGAUCUGAUGUUGCAGGGCCAGAGAAGACUAGGGAAGUUCGGGUUUUCUGGACCAAACAGACACUCAGUCCUGGGCCUGGAGGUCUCUGCAGUGAGGUGCUGCCACGGACAGAGCCACCUUCACUCCUCAGGACAACCAGUGGCUGCUGACACACACUGUAUGCACUGGAGGGCAAGCGGCUCCCAGCUUGGGAGCAACUGAGGAUGGUGAACAGCCUGGGCAAGGAGUGCUCUGAGGCUAAGACCCUGAACGGCAGGAACCGAAAUGCAUCUCCCCGCUUUAGGUAAUGUGAUUCUACCCUUUGCUUGAGAAACAUAUCCAUCCUAAUUGUCAUGUGCUCAGCUGGACCACUAGAGGGAGCCAUCCUGUAACGGGUGAGAUCAACCUAACAUGCUCUCGGUCGGGUAUUGAUCCGAGGCCAACGCUAGAAGUUACCAG